rnacentral:rRNA from 1 species
GUGCCGGUGAGGUGUAAGGUUAAGUACCUUGAACGAGCGCAACCCACGUGGUUAUUUGCUCUUGGUCGCAAGGCCAAGCACUAUAACCAAACCGCUACCGACGAGGUAGAGGAAGGUGUGGAUGACGUCAAAUCAUCACGCCCCUUAUGUCCAGGGCUACACACAUGCGACAAUGGUUGGAACAAUGAGUUGCAAACCAGUAAUGGCAAGCUAAUCUCCAACACCAGCCCCAGUACGGAUCGAGGGUUGAAACUCACCCUCGUGAAGAUGGAGUUGCUAGUAAACGCAAGUCAGCCAUAUUGCGUUGAAUACGUUCCCGGGCCUU